GCUGUGUCUAAAAACUUAGUUUAAACUAACUUAAAGGUGAAGAGGCCUUUAUAAGAAAGAAGGACGACAAGACCCUAUGAAGCUUCAUCUUAUUAGGGAUUUGAAAGAUCCUUAUACGAUUUUGAUGGGAGAUCAGUAAAAAUAAGUCUUUUACCAUUAUUUUUAUCUUACAAGUGUUUCCUAAUUUUAUAUGUGUGACUAGCUACUCUAGGGAUAACAGCGCAAUUUCUCCCGAAAGAUGGUAUUGGAGGGGAAGAUUGCGACCUCGAUGUUGGC
rnacentral:rRNA from 1 species